rnacentral:snRNA from 1 species
UUGUUUUAGCAACACAUAUACUAAAAUUGGAGUGAUACAGGGAAGAUUAGCAUGGCCUCUGCAUACAAAUUAGUAAAAUAUCCUUUAUUUUU